rnacentral:rRNA from 1 species
UUAUCAAAAACAUAACCUUUAGCCUAACAAAUAUUAAAGGCAACGCCUGCCCAGUGAACAAUUAAACGGCCGCGGUACCCUAACCGUGCAAAGGUAGCGUAAUCAUUUGUCUACUAAUUAUAGACCUGUAUGAAAGGCAAAAUGAGGGUCCAACUGUCUCUUAUAAUAAAUCAAUUAAACUGAUCUCCUAGUAAAAAAGCUAGAAUGACAACAUAAGACGAGAAGACCCUGUGAAGCUUAAACUAAACUAUUAAAACACAUAAUAGCUACUUUCGGUUGGGGCGACCUUGGAAAAAAAAAGAACUUCCAAACACCAUGACUUUACCUCAUACCACAAAACUAGGCCAACAAGCCAACAAAUGACCCAGCACUGCUGAUAGUUGAACCAAGUUACUCCAGGGAUAACAGCGCAAUCUUCUUCAAGAGCUCAUAUCAAAAAGAAGGUUUACGACCUCGAUGUUGGAUCAGGACAUCCUAAUGGUGCAGCCGCUAUUAAGGGUUCGUUUGUUCAACGAUUAAUAGUCCUACGUGAUC